rnacentral:rRNA from 1 species
UACAGAGGGUGCGAGCGUUGUCCGGAAUCACUGGGCGUAAAGGGUGCGUAGGUGGCGAGCCAAGUCCAUGGUGAAAGCUCGAUGCUCAACAUCGAGUCGGCCACGGAUACUGGUGCGCUUGAGCACUGUAGAGGCUAAUGGAAUUCCGGGUGUAGCGGUGGAAUGCGUAGAGAUCCGGAAGAACACCAAUGGCGAAAGCAGCUUUCUGGGACGGUACUGACGCUGAGACGCGAAAGCGUGGGGAGCGAACAGG